GGAGGGUUGGCAGAGCGGUCGAAUGCGGCGGUUUUGAAAACCGUUGUCCCCAUACCCGGGGACCGUGGGUUCGAAUCCUACACCCUCCGCCA
rnacentral:tRNA from 1 species